GAUGAACGCUGGCGGCGUGCCUAAUACAUGCAAGUCGAGCGAAUGACGAGGAGCUUGCUCCUCUGAUUUAGCGGCGGACGGGUGAGUAACACGUGGGUAAUCUGCCUGUAAGACGGGGAUAACUCCGGGAAACCGGGGCUAAUACCGGACAACAAGAGAAGAAGCAUUUCUUCUUUUUGAAAGUCGGUUUUGGCUGACACUUACAGAUGAGCCCGCGGCGCAUUAGCUAGUUGGUGAGGUAGCGGCUCACCAAGGCGACGAUGCGUAGCCGACCUGAGAGGGUGAUCGGCCACACUGGGACUGAGACACGGCCCAGACUCCUACGGGAGGCAGCAGUAGGGAAUCUUCGGCAAUGGGCGAAAGCCUGACCGAGCAACGCCGCGUGAGCGAUGAAGGCCUUCGGGUCGUAAAGCUCUGUUGUUAGAGAAGAACAAGUACGAGAGUAACUGCUCGUACCUUGACGGUACCUAACCAGAAAGCCACGGCUAACUACGUGCCAGCAGCCGCGGUAAAAC
rnacentral:rRNA from 1 species